rnacentral:rRNA from 1 species
CAGCAGCCGCGGGAAUACGUAGGGUGCAAGCGUUAAUCGGAAUUACUGGGCGUAAAGCGUGCGCAGGCGGUUUUGUAAGACAGAGGUGAAAUCCCCGGGCUCAACCUGGGAACUGCCUUUGUGACUGCAAGGCUAGAGUACGGCAGAGGGGGAUGGAAUUCCGCGUGUAGCAGUGAAAUGCGUAGAUAUGCGGAGGAACACCGAUGGCGAAGGCAAUCCCCUGGGCCUGUACUGACGCUCAUGCACGAAAGCGUGGGGAGCAAACAGGAUUAGAUACCCCAGUAGUCCCUGUCUCUUAUAC